rnacentral:rRNA from 1 species
AUUGAACGCUGGCGGCAGGCCUAACACAUGCAAGUCGAGCGGAUGAAGGGAGCUUGCUCCUGGAUUCAGCGGCGGACGGGUGAGUAAUGCCUAGGAAUCUGCCUGGUAGUGGGGGAUAACGUCCGGAAACGGGCGCUAAUAUCGCAUACGUCCUGAGGGUGAACGUGGGGGAUCUUCGGACCUCACGCUAUUAGCUGAGCCUAGGUCGGAUUAGCUAGUUGGUGGGGUAAAGGCCUACCAAGGCGACGAUCCGUAACUGGUCUGAGAGGAUGACCAGUCACACUGGAACUGAGACACGGUCCAGACUCCUACGGGAGGCAGCAGUGGGGAAUAUUCGACAAUGGGCGAAAGCCUGAUCCAGCCAUGCCGCGUGUGUGAAGAAGGUCUUCGGAUUGUAAAGCACUGUAAGUUGGGAAGAAGGGCAGUAAGUUAAUACCUGGCUGUUUUGACGUUACCAACAGAAUAAGCACCGGCUAACUUCGUG